CCUGACUACAGGAGGAAACUUACAUCCCAGUGGGGAAUAAGCCUCAGAAAGGCAACAUACUUGAGCAAAGAAAAAAGGUAAGGAAAAAGCUAAAAAACCAAAUACUAAGAACUAAGUUGUUGGGCUUUUUUUUUUUUUUGUUCUUAGGGCAGAAGGAAGUAUAGAUGUAAUGGUGAAAGGAGACAUGAUGACACUAAAUUGCUCAAGGCAAAAAUAAACAGCAGAAGCAGUAUCGCUCUCAGGCCAGCAGUAAACUAAACCCAAGAAAAACAUUCUUAAGAAUAUGAUGAUGUGUCUCAGUUUGGCUGCUGUGUUUAUUGCUGUACUCAGGUGUUAAACCAGUUGCCUGGGAAACCUCAGGAACAGUGCAUGAGAUGGACAAAACAGCUGAACUUUGAACAGAGGGGCUGACUGAGAAAAACGUGUUUGCUGCUCAGACAUUUGCAAAGAUUACAAUGUAGAGAACUUGCUGCAGUGGUUGCCUGUCUCCUCUUCCAGCUUCAAGUUUGCAGUUGCUGUUAAUUAGUGUAACUUCACCUGAAACAAUGUGAAGCUGUUUCCAUCAAUCUGAGGAUAUAGACCAAGCUCCUGUCUUCAAAUUGCAACAAAGCCCUGUAACAGAUCUCAGAUACAGAAAACCUAGGAAAGCAGCUUUCUGAAAGUCAAGGAUACUCCACAAAUUCCACAGGAGACUUGCUGCUGGCCACUUACUAUUUGGAAAUCACAGGACAAGUAUCAGCACCAAAAAAAGAGCAUCAUGGUGUGUGCAUAGUGUGCACAGUGUGCAGGUAUAUUACAAACUACUCUGACGAGAUGUUCCCAUGCUUGGGUCACAGCUCUGGGGUUUAGGAUUUCUCUGCUGCGGGAUCCCUGUGUGACCUUCAGUGAAUGCUUUUGCUCCCCUGGGGAAGCACAAAUAUCACAUCAUUCACAGGGUGAAGAAAUCAUGCAUAAAAACUGGCAUUCGCAUGUGCUGCAGCAAUAAGGGCUGCUCAGAGAAAUGCAUCUGCUCUGAAGAUAUCACAGUGUGUGCACCCAGGUAGCACAGCUGGCAGGAGCCGGCUCACACUUCCCUCCACUGAUACGGCGUUGGUGCGUCUCACUGCUUGGACUCAUGGCUCAGCUGUACCGGCUGAGGGCAGUGCAAAUCGAGUAAUGUGAUGAAGAUGCAUAAAGCUCAUCCUUCCCCUGAAAGCACACUGACAGAGUAAAUAGGAGCAAAUAAAACACAUAUUACGACUUGUUCCCAAUUGCAGUUUACUAACAAAUUCCUAUAGGUAAGACACAGAUUCAUUAUUGUUGAUUAAUGAAUAUUUUCCCCUCCCCAGUGUUUUGAUUUGAUUGCACUGGAAAUCAAGCCAUCUUUCUCUUAGGUAACUUCUCCUGUGCAUUUGGCAGUCACAAAGUAUACACCAUGUACCUUUAGAAGACUCUGGAAAGGCAGGUUUAACUUCUACUGCAGUCACCUGUCCACACCUUUAAGACCGACAACACUUCUUCAAAGGUUUCAUUCCACAAACCUUUCAGCUUUCUUCAGCAGGGCAAUUAUUUUGGCAGCACAAAAAUCUAACCACUGUGCAGCAUUCCCAAACUCUCCAGAGAACGGUAUUUCAGUUUCUACUGUCACCACAGGGUCUAAUCCAAAGCCCACUGAAUCUAGAAAUUCCUCUCUGUUCCAAGAGGCCUUGAAUCAUGCCUACUGGGCCCUUUCUGGCCACGUACAUCACAUACGAUUUAAAUAAUGAGUCUGCCUUUCACAACAAAAUGAUGACUACCCAGGCUGCAGAUGCAGAUGUUGAAAUGUCAUGCUUGUAUUCAUGAACACAUUUCUUCCUGAACAUCUCAUUGAAGAAAAUAACAUGAUUGCUCAACAGGCUCAAGGGACGGCUCAGGGAACCUCAACGUACUGCAAAGAGCCAGCCAUGUUCUCACAGGAUUUACAGUGACAGCCUUUGGGUGGGAAGCUCUCAAUUGAUUUAUCUGGACUGGCAAAAUAAUAUUUCUCAUAGACUACAAGAAGGGGGACAUGGGCAGAUUUCAGCCAACUUGCACUGCUGAGAUACCAGCUUGUUCUUGCUGGAAGUGUCCAGGGAGGGAAGUAUGCAACACAGUAUUCAUUUAUUAAAAAAUAUUUAACAGGAAAACUCCCAAGGAGAUCAGAUCUCAUUUUCAAGUUAUUCAUCAGACUGCAAACCCAGCACAAAUAAUACACAGGAUUGCAAGUACAGAAUAAAAAUUACUAGGAGUUUUUGAACCUGUGGCUAUGUCCACAUUGACUUUCCCUCACAUGCAGGGUUCUGUGCUCAGACCAAAGCUGCUUUUUGCUGUUACAGUGCUGGGACACAAACUCAGAGCAAGCCUUGGUCAGACAGAGAUGUCUAUGUGCUAUGGAUGCCUCUGUGCUCACCCUCCCACACUGCUGGUGGGAUUACUUCCAUGCCACCACUUCUAGUCAUAAAAGCACGAGGGCUGGCAUAUGCAGUCCAGUACUUGUGUGUGUGCGUGUGUGUGUUGUGUGUGUGCACAAUGGGGACAACUAGAUGGGAUUCCAAACCCAGGUCAGGAAAGGACACCUCUAUGCUAAGUGUAACACAAAUACAGGGAAAACAGAGACCUCCUGCUGCAAAAGCUUGCUGUCCAAGUAUAAGACAAGAGCCAGCCUGUGGACAAGGGCAGACAGAUACUCCCUAUCACACAAAGCCCAAUGACUUUCAACAGCUCCAAGAACCACACAGCAAACUUCUCAGUAGAGUAACAGUACUAGUUUCAAGGAUGUUUUCACUAGUAAGUGGGGCGGAGUUGUGAAGGCUAAGAGUGCUCAGUGGACAAUGCAACAAGCAGCCAAAGGAGGCUGAAUCCCUGCUCAUGCGUAGAUGAAGUCGACGGUAUAAUACUGAGUAGAUGAUGGUCAGGAGAGGAGAGAUGGGAGGUUAGGCUGGACGGGACUGUGAGCAACCUGAUCUAGCUGCAGAUGUCCAACUCCCCUGUAGUGAAUGGGGACAAGAUGAUCUCCAAAGGUUCCUUCCAACUGAAAAGAUUUUAUGGUUCUAUAAUCUACAGAAAUGCUCAGUGCCCAUAGUUGUAGCUGAGAUCUUCAGAAAUCUCUGCACUCUGAAUACUUAUAAAUUCAGCACGGUCUUAAAAAGCAAAUCCUGGAUGUUCCUUGUCAGUUGCCUCUGAACUGUUCUUAAUCCCUCUCAGACUCUGCUGUUCUUUGAUAAAAUUAGAUUGAUACUAUCUCACUCCCCAAAGGUAUUGUAAAUAUAAAUACACUGUUGUUUGUCAAGUGCUCAUAUGCAGCAUGGAUAUCCCCACAGAAAUUCAUUGCAAGGUGAAGAUGCUAGAUCUGGAAUACUGUAUGAAUGACAGAGAGUGAAAAAAUAUUGACUUAUUGUCAUUUUCCAAAAGAGGCACAGGUCCUAAAGGAGAAACAAUGGCUGUCAAGGAUUACAAGUAUACAUUUUCACAUUCACAGAUGAAUCAAGUGACCACAUUAAUUUUGCCAUCUCAGUUCUAGCAUUUUCUAGGUGUUCACCUUUGAAAUCUAUACAGAACAUGUUACACAGGUAAUAUACAGAACAUUUGUUGCACAGGUAAUACAGACAUAACAUUCACAACUGAUUUUUAAAAUUACCAACUCUGCUAUGGGACUUAUUCCCCUGUCCUUCCCUAACCAUCAAUAUCCAAGAUUCACAGCCUAAGUCUUUUCCUAUAAAAACUCACUGGGAGGCUCCUGAAGUAUCAAGUUGUUACCUUCUAGGUAGAUCAGGCAGAAAAAAAACCAUAGAGCAAGCCUGUUCCCUUCAGGUUUUAGAAAGAAAGAGGUUGGCAUAUGCUCACUAAUUUUUCUGAUGCUUAUGAUUUGUCUAAAGCAAAUCAUGAAAACAGAAGUAAAUCAUUCCUGACACCAGGAUGAAUUUUCUUCUGAAAUCUAAGCUCUACUCCAAAGCAUGACCUUUUUAAAGUUUCUUAACACAAUGGCUGAAAACUCAUUCUGUCUUUGCUUUUAAUAGGAUAAACAACGUUAUCCACAAAUACAGUGGGAUUGUUGUUGUUGUUGUUUUGUUUUUAAUUGAGCUUGAGGCAAACUGCCAGCAUGAAGACUUUCAGCUCGAUUAAUCAGAAUUUGGAAAAAAUUAUAAACAAGAGGGUAAAAAAAGUAAUGGCAAAUGACAAGAGGCAUAUAUUCUAGAAGAGCUUUCAAUCCACACUUAAAGUAUUCCACUAUUAGGGCAUAAGCAUCUGUGCUUUUAGCAACUCACAAUUUCAGUCCUGCGAGGAAGGAGGGUCCUGGGAACAGACACUGCGUUGGGAAUCGGGACACAUACAUUUUGUUGCUUGUCCUGCCAGUGAUCCACUCCCAUCACAUAGCGCAAAUCUUCUUUCCCUGCACUUUCAUUUUUCUGUUCUGGUUAGACUUUAAGCUCUUCAGAGCAGAUCUUACCAUAUUUUUUUGUAUAUUAUUAGCAUAUAUGCAUUAAAAUAUAGUUGGUAUAUGGAGUUAGUAGCUCGUUCUAUUUCCUAAAUAGUCCAGGUAAAUGUUAGUAUACUUCACUGAUUUUUAGGUCACUCUAUAAGUGGUCCCACAGCCUUGAGACCUCUCGAGACUCCUAGAGCAAUGACACCUGGCAUUGUUUCCUGCUGAGCAAAACCUGUACUGGUGUACCUUUAUCCUACUAGAGCAAUAUUAAUGGCUUGAAAAACACAGUUGUAAUUAAGGAUUUGUGUUUUAGUGAGAAGCAUAUUUGUACAUUCCGUUCAUACCUGCUCCUGGGGAGGAAGGCUCAAACAUACUAGAUGUAUCACUGCACGUGUUGGAAGCUUGCUCUGAGAGCUUCUUCUUGGCACUUCCAUCUGCAGACUUAUGUGACUUCUUUUUAUUUUUCACCAGAAUUUUGUACAUUAAAUCCAUAGGGCUUGGAAGAGGAACCCCAGGUUCAAGCUUUCAGAAAAGAAAGAGAAAUCUGUUACAAGAAAAGAAGAAACAAGCUUACAGUGAUUUCUUAAGGCCUAGAUGGUUCACAAUAGUUUUGUAACCUCUGUGAGCCCUGCUAAAAUGCACCUCUUGAACAACAGGUAACCUUCAUUAAGUGAAACAGGGCUAUGGAGGGCGUAUAAGAGAAGAAAAAUACCUUAAGAAAUGUCUACAGCAAUAACUUCAAUAAGAACUAGUUCAAAUAUGAAAGCAAACAUUAUAAAUCAGUGACUGUAAGAAUCAAUUGCAAUUAGAAGAUUACAAUUCAGUGUAUCAAAACAACCUUUGCAACAGAAAUGAUAUGUAACAGAAACAGUACAAACUGCUUAAAGCCCUCCUUUAGACUCUGUCUUGGAAGGCUGUAUAUAAAGAAUGACACAGGACUGAACGAAGUAAAAAUUCACAAGAUAUUUGUGGUCUUAUAAAUACCAAACCGUAUUACCGGGUACUUCUCCAGUGGAUCCAUAAGCAAUGCAUCUCCAAAUAUUAAUCUGCAGUACUCUGCCAUUUUUGCCUGUUGCUUAGGGCUAAAGGGGAGAAAAAGAAAGAAAGACUGAAAGACAGACUGAAAGCAGCAGUAAUGGAAUACCUAAUAUGCCUAAACAAGAUAUAAUUUCCUGAUUCAAUCACUGUGAAUUGUUCAAAGAGACAUAGAUAUAUCGUGCAAUUAUUCUGAUUCCUUUGAUAGAGCUUAUCAAAAGGAUGACACAUGAAGUCACUAGGCACUUGAAUAAUGGUGAAACUGAACUUUGGAGUUGUAUUUUCCCCACACACUGAGUAGAAAAAAAAAGAGGAUGUCAGUUUGUCAGUUGUUACCUUUGGGGAAAUAACUGUUGCAUGAAUUUGCCUCUUUCAGGCAACAUUUUAUUCAAAGUUUAAAUAUUUUCCUCCUUGUGUUACUUCACACACACCAGGCAUUCUUCCCACACCCCCUCCUUUCAUCUGGAUUUUUUUCUUUCUCAUCAUACCUGACCUAAGGCAUAACAACCCUAACAGUUACACACAGAGCAGCCUUCUCUGCCAGUGUCCCAAACUUGUCACCACACAAGGUUGUGCCCUUGUGUCUCCAGGGCACAACUGCAAGAAGAAUAGGGAGAAGACACUAUUUGGGUUUCAAAAGCAGCAAAAAGUUAAAGGUACUGAUAGAGGAGCAGCUACCUUCACUGCAGAUUUUAUCACAGCAGCCCACUUUCCCACCCUAUUUGUUUCAGCCUAUGUGAGAUGAGUGCUUUGGGUGCUGUGCCUGAAGCAUGACAGUCCCUCCAGCUUGAGCCCUGCUCCCAGAUGCAGCUUUGCAAGGCUCUCCCCCAUGAGGUGCUGGCCCACUUGCAGACCUCAUGGGUGAGGUUGGCACCAGCAGCUUGUGCUGCUCUCGCCUCCUGCUGCAUCCUCACUGGCAGAAGUCAUAGCAUAGAUGUAAUUAGUACUAAUGUCAAGAGGCAUUAUGUCAAUUUGGAGAAUUGCUGUAAUAAGUGCUGGUGUAACUGCAUUUUAAAUUAAAUACUGCAUGCCUGUAAUACAUACAUAGCUGGGAACAAUAUAAAUACACCAGGUGGAACUGCGCAAUGAUUAUUUUAGCUUGUUGUUUGGGUCAGCAGUCAGACUCUUUAUUUUCUUAUUUUCAAAUUAGAUCUGGUGUUGAAUUUUACUAUAAUAAAUUACUUCAGUGGUUGUCUUGACAUCCUCUAGAAAUAAACUCAAUCUCAGCAAGUUUUAGUCAUAAUCAAUUUUCCCAAAGUGCAACCCAAUAAUGAAAUUGCUGCGUAUCACAAUGAUAGGAGUUCCAGGACUGAGGAUAGGUUACAUUGCUUAGAAAUAUUACUCAAGUCAUCUUAACAUGCAGUGCAGUGCUAAAAUCACUGUCUAAUUUUAGACAACUGUGCAUGUUUGUUAUUUAUGUCUAAUAAAGCCCGUGACAUCUGAGCUCAGGUUUCUUUGAAAAUUUUCGUUUUUGACACUCUCUGGAGAAGUACUGAUUGAAGCUUGUUUAAUACAACCUCCUCAAUUAUUAUUAAUUAUGAACCACGUACUAUGGAAGAUACGCGGAUGAUAUAAGCAGUUACGUUACCAUGGAGCUAUUUUUUAUGACAAAGUAGAACUGGAUAUAUAUGAAAAAUGUAGCAUUCAUUUUUCUCUUGCAAACUAGGAGUACAGCGACUUCAAUGUCUAUUUUGCCAUUAGCCACCAACUGAGCGCUUGGCAACGGAGCUCUUCCUGAGUUCAGCAGGGCCAAACCAGAGCUGAGAUAAAGGCUGGGUGGCAUUUGAAUCGGAAAAUGUAAUUUCCCCAAGAUCAGCAUGCCGGCUGUCCCUUGAAGCAGAUACAGCGUGAACUGGUCAUUAGCUCAGUCAUUUACAAAACAUACCGAGAGUAGGUUUUAAAGUAUUCCACCAAGCUAUAGAGGUGCUGCACACAAUUUAAAUCACUACAGUAUUUCAUUAAUUUCUUUUACAUGCAGCCAAUUCUGCAAAAACGCUAAGAGCCACUUUUAGCUGAGGAUGGAAAAUUAAGACAAAGACAGGCAAGGCAGUGAAACUAAGAACUCACAAGGGAGAUGGUGACAGGAGGAAUAGAUCAGGCAAUGACAGUGCUUUAGCUAUUUCUAACUGCCAGCUACCAAGGAAAAUAAAGGCACUGCAUUCUGAUCCAGUAAGAAAGCAGAUUGGGUAUUUGCUACAGCUGUUGGCUACGAGGGGUCUAUAGGGAUUAUUUCAGUCAUCUCCACUAGUGUGUCUUGUGAAUACACCCAUGCUCUUAGCAUCCAGAAAGUCCAAGGGACAUUUCCCUGAAUCACAAGAGCACAAUAAUUGAAGUCUUACAAAUUAGAUGCAAUUUGUGACACCAGCAUUUUUGAACGGGCACAUUGACCCCAAAAAAGAACUUUUGAUAAGAAAUACAAAAAGGAUGCAGAACUUCUAUCUAAUAAAUUUCAUACAAAACAGCUAGAACAAAUUCUUCUGAUGUUCCAUGUUUAAUUACAUGGUUACCUCAUAAAGCACACAGUGAGAACUUUCAUUUUUGCAAAAGAGAAAAAUUCAAUGCAGCACAUUUUGGUUUAGCACAUAAAUUCCAAUGUAAUCACUGUGCAGAGGGAAAAAAAAAGAGGAGAAGGAAAAUUAAGAAGUAACAGUUCUUAACAAUAUAAAAAAAAGUCUUGCAAUACUAGACAAUGUCCAAGAACAAAAAUCUUGACAUAACAGAAUUACUUUUCUUUGUCAACAGGACCAUAUGAACUGUUAUUAUUAAAAGCCCCUGAGAAAGAACUUGAGAAAUUUAGGAGAUAAGAAUUAUGUAGGAGUUCAGUAUUUGAACAAGUGGUACCCUCUGUGAUCCCCACAAAUACAUGCUUCGUUUUAAGAGAGAGAGAUCAUUAGCAAUAGUAUUACUAUUAAAGUACUUUACAAGUUGGAGUAUUUGUUUCUUUUUAUUUUACCUUCUUUUCAAAACCAUGAACCAGAGCAAUAAACUUUUCUACAUCACCAUGUUUUCUCAUCUGUGUUGUUAAGAAACAGUAAGUCAGCUAAUUCCUGAAGAAAAACGUC
rnacentral:lncRNA from 1 species